rnacentral:rRNA from 1 species
CCUACGGGAGGCAGCAGUAAGGAAUAUUGGUCAAUGGACGCAAGUCUGAACCAGCCAUGCCGCGUGAAGGAUGAAGGUCCUCUGGAUUGUAAACUUCUUUUAUCUGGGACGAAACCCAUCUUUUCUAAGGUGAUUGACGGUACCAGAGGAAUAAGCACCGGCUAACUCCGUGCCAGCAGCCGCGGUAAUACGGAGGGUGCAAGCGUUAUCCGGAUUCACUGGGUUUAAAGGGUGCGUAGGUGGGUUGCCAAGUCCGUGGUGAAAUCUCCGAGCUUAACUCGGAAACUGCCAUGGAUACUGGUAGUCUUGAAUUAUCUGGAGGUCAGCGGAAUAUGUCAUGUAGCGGUGAAAUGCUUAGAUAUGACAUAGAACACCAAUUGCGAAGGCAGCUGACUACGGGUAUAUUGACACUGAGGCACGAAAGCGUGGGGAUCAAACAGGAUUAGAUACCCUGGUAGUCCACGCCCUAAACUAUGGAUACUCGACAUCGCGAUACACAGUGAGUGUCUGAGCGAAGACAUUAAGUUAUACCCACCCGUCGGAAGGUAACGACCGACCGAGGUUAGUAAACGUACGAAAGAAAGUUAGUACGGACGUGAGACGUACGACCGACGGACGACGACGAGGGGAGGAGGGAG